GUUUGUGCCUCAGUGAGAGCGUCUUCGGGCCGACAGGGGCUGCACUCCCAUCCCUCCCACCGUCCUCCAGCCCCCGGAGGUUUGGGAGGGGACAGGGCCGGGGGUGCUGCCCACCGAUGCCUUUGCCAGUUGGCAGGUAUCCGCUCCUGGUGACGCUCUGAGACCCAGCCGCGCCCCUCUGAGUACUGGGCGUCCUGACAAGGCGCCGGCGGGGCGCAGCCCGUGAAGAGCCGCCGCACCUGUUGGCAACAUCCCUCCUGAAGGGAAGAAUAGGGCGGGAGAAGUGGGCGAGGCAGGAGUGCCCUUCCUUAUCCCCACACCCUCUUUCCUUCCUUCGCGCCUGGGGUAGAGAGCGCUCCACCCACACACAUACCUGGGCUUCUUGAAGAAGUGACUGAUCCAGGGCUAGGUCAGGGAAAGUCCAAGCAUUGCCAGAAAGGAAGGAAUGGCUCCAAAAAGGACGGGGACUCAGGAGGCGACCUGAAGGAGCUCCUAGUGGCCGAAGCUGGAACUAUGUGACUGGCAAAAUUAAUAAUUGUACGAAUGCUGUGAGCAGGGACAAACUUGACAAUUUGGAGGAACAGCAAGGAGGCAGGACAGGAGGUUACAGAAAUGGAAGCAGAAGCCUCUUAAGAUACUCCUCGCAAGAAACCUGUCCUUGUUGCGUUCAGAGAAAAGACAUUCGCAUGCUGGUCUGCUGUCAAGGCUUCUCUCUCAGAGCUGAUGGAGGAACGCCCGCCUCUGGUCUGGAAAUUCACCAGGGAUGAGACCGGAGAGACAGCCUGCCCGAAGACGCAGCUUUACGUGCUUCUCUCCAGCCUCUGAAGAGGCCACAAGCGGAUGGACUGGCUGCAGCUGGUUGCGCGACGCUCCUU
ensembl:lncRNA